rnacentral:rRNA from 1 species
GACGAACGCUGGCGGCGUGCUUAACACAUGCAAGUCGAACGGUGAAGCGCCUUCCUUUUUGGUGGGUGUGGAUGAGUGGCGAACGGGUGAGUAACACGUGAGUAACCUGCACCCUUCUUUUGGAUAACCGCAUGAAAGUGUGGCUAAGACGGGAUAUUCUGGGUCUGUGUCAUGGUGGGUAUGGGUAAGCUAUUGGUUCGGGGGGGGAUGGGCUCCCGGCCUAUCAGCUUUUUGGGGGUGUCAUGGGCUACGAAGGCGGUGACGGGUCGACGGCCUGGGGGGGUGGCCGGUCACACUGGGACUGCGACCCGGCUGGGACUGAUACGGGAGGCAGAAGUGGGCAAUAUGGCACAAUGGGGGAAAGCGUGAUGUAGCGAGGCCGCGUGAGGGACGGCGGCCUUCGGGUUGUGAACGCCUUUCGCCAGUGAAGCAGGCUUGCCUCGUUUGUGGGUGGGUUGACGUUAGCUGGAUAAGAAGCGCCGGCUAACUACGUG